ensembl:snRNA U5 U5 spliceosomal RNA
AUACUCUGGUUUCUCUUCAGAUCGUAGAAAUCUUUCGCCUUUUACUAAAGAUUUCCGUGGAGAGGAACAAGCACGAGUGUCGUGGAAUUUUUUGAGGCUCCGCUUCGGCGGAGCU